GACGUAGGGCGCGAGCGUUGUCCGGAUUUAUUGGGCGUAAAGAGCUCGUAGGCGGCUUGUCGCGUCGUUCGUGAAAACCUGCGGCUCAACUGCAGGCUUGCGGUCGAUACGGGCAGGCUGGAGUUCGGUAGGGGAGACUGGAAUUCCAGGUGUAGCGGUGAAAUGCGUAGAUAUCUGGAGGAACACCGGUGGCGAAGGCGGCAUCCUGGACCGGUAUUGACGCUGAGGAGCGAAAGCCAGGGGAGCAAACGGG
rnacentral:rRNA from 1 species